rnacentral:rRNA from 1 species
AGCGAACGCUGGCGGCAGGCCUAACACAUGCAAGUCGAGCGCCGUAGCAAUACGGAGCGGCAGACGGGAGAGUAACACGUGGGAACGUGCCCUUUGGUUCGGAACAACCCAGGGAAACUUGGGCUAAUACCGGAUAAGCCCUCACGGGGAAAGAUUCAUCGCCGAAGGAUCGGCCCGCGUCUGAUUAGCUAGUUGGUGGGGUAAUGGCCCACCAAGGCUCCGAUCGGUAGCUGGUCUGAGAGGAUGACCAGCCACACUGGGACUGAGACACGGCCCAGACUCCUACGGGAGGCAGCAGUGGGGAAUAUUGGACAAUGGGCGAAAGCCUGAUCCAGCCAUGCCGCGUGAGUGAUGAAGGCCUUAGGGUUGUAAAGCUCUUUCACCCACGACGAUGAUGACGGUAGUGGGAGAAGAAGCCCCGGCUAACUCCGUGCCAGCCGCCGCCGUAA